AGAGUCAUCGGGAGAGCGGCAGCAGUCGACUCACCACAGUGAAGACACCACGGUUUGACAUGUCUGGUCACCACCUGUGCUCAGCACAGGUCGUGAUCGGCUUUAGACUACCAUUAUGCAUACCCAGUCUUGGGGCUAGCCAAAGCCAAGUCUUUACCAAGGGGCAUUACUGGAGCACAGAAAUGCUCUGGCCAAUCCCUUCCCUGGCCAUCCUCCUGCUAUCGAGAUUGGAAAGGUUGCACCUGGGGAUUCCCCCAUCCUCAGAUGGCUGGGUAAGCCAGCUUUACAACCUUUUUGCACUGGUGAAGUUGUCCAAAGGGGUCAUGGAGCGAGGACCUGGACCUACAAGUUUACAAGACAACAUGAUGAGGAGUAAGUCCUUUUGUUUAUUGUAAUAAUUAUAUUUAUAUUAUUUUUAUUUGUUAACUUUGUAAUUACUGUACAUCGCUUCUUCCAUCUGAGGAUCUCAAAGGGCCUGACAAACAUUUUUAAUUAAUUAAGCUACACAGCACUCCAAUGAAGCUUCAUACCCAUUUUAUAGAUGAGAAAGGUACAGAGGGCCAAAUGCAAGGAUGAAGUAAAUCAUUGUCUAUGCUACACAUUGGUAUCCUGAUUAUGAUCUCACACUGGUUUUACACCAGUUGAACUUUAAUGACUUCAGGGGGUUAUGCCUGAUUUACACCAGUUGGUGGAGAAGCAGCCCCAACAUGUAAAUUCAUCAGAUGCAAGUGGCAAAGCAGUGUAAUUUGCAGUGAUUUGGCAUUCAGUAGGUAUGCAAAAUGAGUGCUAUUUACACCAAGUUGGCAUGCUGUGGACAACAAAUACAGCAGGCACAGAUUCCUAUUUACAUCAAUAGAAAUUGUAACCAUGAAACCAGAGUGGAAUUUGGCCUAGAGAAAUUAAGUGUGACAUGGCCAUGGUCACACAGCAAGUCAGUGGAAGAGCUGGGACUAGCAGCCAAGAGUCCUGGCUCCUAGUCCUCUUUCAGGGGAUGAGCAUGCAGUAAUUAAUUUUCAUGAAAUGCGGCAUAAUCUAUGUAACAAAUCUUUCUCACCAAGUAAUAAUUUGGAUUCUCAAAUAAGAAUAAAAUAAAAGAUUGGUUGUUGGAAUAAUGUUCAGUCCCAGAGAUAAACUAGCGGUGGUCUUAAAUACAGAGGGACUUGAACUGAGGUUCUGAACAUGAAGCUCCGCAAACCUGAACUCCUCCUGCCACUUGCUCUCCAAGUGCACGACUUUGUGUCAACACAUCCCAAUGUGGUGAUUCUGCAUCAUAACUUCACAAGAUGAAACAUCUGCCAGAUCAAACACAGAAACUUUUGCGUUCAAUGCAGUAGAUUUGAAUGUAUAUUUGCAUUUAAACCCAUUCCUAGAAAGCCCCUAGGAACUUAUAUCAGUGGGAUAUGCAUGUUGGGACAGGGUAGUAUUGGAGUCAAUGUACACUGUCAGGCUGGAUGGAAUUUUGCAUCUGUGGGUGAUUUUACAGUACAUCAGUGGCCCCCAAACUGUGGAGUGCACCCCUAGGGGGGAAUAGAGGAAUGUUCAGGGGGGCAUGGUGGGGCACGGGCCAGACCCCACAGGGGGCAGGGAGGGAGCUCUGCCCCCCGCUCCACUCCGGCCCUGUCCCAAGCCCUGGCCACAGCUCCUGGUGAUGGCCCCUGGCUCCCAGCCAUGCCUGUGGCCCCAACUGCAGCCCCUGCUCCCAGCUGAGGCCCCAGCUGCAGUGCUGGCCCCACUCCCGACUGUGGCCCCGGCCCUGGAUCCAGACUGUGGCUCCCAGAUGAGGCGCGGACUAGGUAAGGGGGGGCCACGGACAAAAAAGUUUGGAGACCACUGCAGAACAUACUAUAAUAUGAAAUUAAUUAUUGAUACUAUAACAGCCUUAAGUCUGAAUUUCUUUUUCUGCUAUGUUGCUGUCUGCCUUUUAAUACUGUUUUAAUUUUUUAUAAUUUAUAACAACAUGCUGUCUGCUUUUAUACUAUAUAUUAUUUAUACAAGAUUGUUGUCUGCUUUUAUAUUAAUUCAUUUCCUGUGGAAUUCUUUUUCUUUCAUGUCUUUUAUUGAGUUGUAAAUUCAGCGUCCAAUCUUUGUUUUACCUGCGCAAGGCAGUUACAAGAUUUCAUGGUGCAUUGAGAAAGAGAUCUGCUUUCCUGUACUGCCAUGAUGGUUAAUCCACUGAGGGAAAAGAGAUUAAAAUACUGAAAGCUUGUUUCCAUCCAAUCCAAAAUCCCUGUUUGGUUUGGUUGUUUAUGAAUAAGGCUCAGGACACAGACUCUUUUAACUCGGAUUGUUUUUUCUAUGGGUGUGCCCAGUCUCUGUGAAAAUGAGCAUGCUACUCUGUCAGUGCAAAACAAAAUAAAUUAAUGGUAAUUCAUUAAUAAUAAAAGAAUUCUGGAACUAA